rnacentral:lncRNA from 1 species
CGGGCCCCCGGAGGUGGCGGGGCCGGGUCCCCGGAGGUGGCGGGGCUGAGCUCCGGGAGGCUCCGCGCUCCCGGGGCUGCCCUGAGCCGGAGGUGGGAGCUGGGCUACACCUCCCUCCCUGCCCACAGCCCUCCGGGCCAAAGGCAACCACAGUUUUAGACACCCAGAGCUAUCAGGUGGCUGAUCUCUCCGGGUUUCCUCUCCUCCAGAAGGAAUGCUCAAGUGCUGCCAGCUUGCAGAGACAAUAUUACAAGAUCCUAUGAACUUGCUAGACCCACCCAAAUGCUCUGGGGUUGUCUCCUGCCUGAUGGGCUGCCACCAAGGCUCUAAAACCCUCGCACACAAAGGCACCACGGGACUCCCACCCUCGACGUGAGUGCUCUGCCUGCCUCUGGCGCUGCCUGUCAGACCCACUUCAGCUGGAAUCAAGGUAAAGAAUCAGCAGCACUAAAUACUGCAGGACGAAGGCAUAAACCAGCUUUGUAACCCUGGGCAACCUGGCUGUUUGCUGACUGACAGUGUGAAUGACAGCCCAGUUGUCACUCUAAAAGAUCGUCUUCUAAUCAUUCCAGAUAUCACCCGACAAGAUGAUGGCUACUAAAAAGGGAAUAAUUUGGGAAAAGUCAUAAAACCUAUUAUCUCCUGCUGAAACCAUUUUUCUUUGCCAUUUCUGAAGUCUCUGCAAAAUAGCUCCAGAACAUCCCAUAUGUAGCAUGCUACUGGUUUAUGAAGAGAGGGUGUCCACUCAGAAGUGCACAGGAUAGCCCAGGACAUUCCUAGAGAAAGCCACCCCUGAGCUAUGCCACUCCUUCAUGUCUUGGCAGGUGACUCCAAUCCAGCCAUAGCUGAAAUAGUUCACCUGUUCCAAAGCACAACAGGCAGCAAAAGGCUGUCAUAGUAGCUGCUCACACACAUGCACAGCCUGAUGAAUCAGAGAGAGGAUGGAGAUGACCACAGCAGCAGCAGAGUGCAGUUUCUGGGUAGAAUUCUUAUCUUUUCUCCUUAGCAAAGAGAGAAACAUCUGAAAACAUUUAUUAGGACCUUUUCAUUUUACUUAAUUUAUUAAAUUACAUUUUAAUUUCAAUAUGAAGAGAAGACUUUCUUGAGUCUUCUCAAUGAGGAGAAGAGAAGGAAUUGUGUCAAUUCCUUCUAAAAUGUAGUGGAAGAGAUUGCAGUCUGUGAGCCAGAAAAUUCUGUAUAU